rnacentral:rRNA from 1 species
GAUUAACGCUGGCGGCGUGCAUAACACAUGCAAGUCGAACGAUGAAACUUUAAUGAACCCUUCGGGGAGAAUUAAAGCGGAUUAGUGGCGAACGGGUGAGUAACGCGUGAGUAACCUGCCUUACACAAGGGGAUAGCCUUUGGAAACGAAGAAUAAUACCCUAUAAAACCAUAAAAGCACAUGCAAUUAUGGUCAAAGUGAUAGCGGUGUAAGAUGGACUUGCGUCUGAUUAGCUAGUUGGUGAGAUAAAAGCCCACCAAGGCAACGAUCAGUAGCCGGCUUGAGAGAGUGUACGGCAACAUUGGGACUGAGACACGGCCCAGACUCCUACGGGAGGCAGCAGUGGGGAAUUUUGCACAAUGGGGGAAACCCUGAUGCAGCGACGCCGCGUGAUUUAGAAGGCCUUCGGGUUGUAAAAAUCUUUUGUAUAGGAAGAAAAUGACAGUACUAUACGAAUAAGGUCCGGCUAAUUACGUG